rnacentral:rRNA from 1 species
GACAGAGGUUGCAAACGUUGUUCGGAAUUACUGGGCAUAAAGCGCACGUAGGCGGUCCGUUAAGUCAUGUGUGAAAUCCCCCGGCUCAACCGGGGAAUUGCGCCUGAUACUGGCGGGCUAGAGGUCGAUAGGGGUGAGCGGAACUCCAGGUGGAGCGGUGAAAUGCGAAGAUAUCUGGAGGAACACCGGUGGCGAAGGCAGCUCUCUGGGACGGUACUGACGCUGAGACGCGAAAGCGUGGGGAGCGAACAGG